GACGAACGCUGGCGGCGUGCUUAACACAUGCAAGUCGAACGGUGAAAGCGGAGCUUGCUCCGCUGGAUCAGUGGCGAACGGGUGAGUAACACGUGGGCAACCUGCCCCUGACUUCGGGAUAACUCCUCGAAAGAGGUGCUAAUACCGGAGACGACACCUGACGGCAUCUGCGGGAUUGGAAAGUUUAUCGGUCAGGGAUGGGCCUGCGGCCUAUCAGCUUGUUGGUGAGGUAGUGGCUCACCAAGGCGACGACGGGUAGCCGGCCUGAGAGGGCGACCGGCCACACUGGGACUGAGACACGGCCCAGACUCCUACGGGAGGCAGCAGUGGGGAAUAUUGCGCAAUGGGCGAAAGCCUGACGCAGCAACGCCGCGUGAGGGAUGACGGCCUUCGGGUUGUAAACCUCUUUCAGCAGGGAAGAAGCGAAAGUGACGGUACCUGCAGAAGAAGCACCGGCUAACUACGUGCCAGCCGCCGCCGUAA
rnacentral:rRNA from 1 species